rnacentral:rRNA from 1 species
CUGGUGGCGAGUGGCGAACGGGUGAGUAAUGCGCCGGAACGUAUCCAGUAGAGGGGGAUAACGCAGCGAAAGCUGUGCUAAUACCGCAUACGCCCUGAGGGGGAAAGCAUGGGAUCUUCGGACCAUGCGUUAUUGGAGCGGCCGACGUCUGAUUAGCUAGUAGGUGAGGUAAAGGCUCACCUAGGCGAUGAUCAGUAGCUGGUCUGAGAGGAUGAUCAGCCACACUGGAACUGAGAGACGGUCCAGACUCCUACGGGAGGCAGCAGUGGGGAAUUUUGGACAAUGGGCGCAAGCCUGAUCCAGCCAUUCCGCGUGAGUGAAGAAGGCCUUCGGGUUGUAAAGCUCUUUCGGCAGGGAAGAAAAGGUUCUGGUUAAUAGCUGGAACUGCUGACGGUACCUGAAGAAGAAGCACCGGCUAACUACGUGCCAGCAGCCGCGGUAAUACGUAGGGUGCGAGCGUUAAUCGGAAUUACUGGGCGUAAAGGGUGCGCAGGCGGCUCUGUAAGUCUGACGUGAAAUCCCCGGGCUUAACCUGGGAACUGCGUUGGAAACUGUAGAGCUAGAGUGUAGCAGAGGGGGGUAGAAUUCCACGUGUAGCAGUGAAAUGCGUAGAGAUGUGGAGGAAUACCGAUGGCGAAGGCAGCCCCCUGGGUUAACACUGACGCUCAGGCACGAAAGCGUGGGUAGCAAACAGGAUUAGAUACCCUGGUAGUCCACGCCCUAAACGAUGUCAACUAGUUGUUGGG